rnacentral:rRNA from 1 species
UGGGGAAUAUUGCACAAUGGGCGCAAGCCUGAUGCAGCAACGCCGCGUGAACGAUGAAGGUCUUCGGAUCGUAAAGUUCUGUUGCAGGGGAAGAUAAUGACGGUACCCUGUGAGGAAGCCCCGGCUAACUACGUGCCAGCAGCCGCGGUAAUACGUAGGGGGCUAGCGUUAUCCGGAUUUACUGGGCGUAAAGGGUGCGUAGGUGGUCUUUCAAGUCGGUGGUUAAAGGCUACGGCUCAACCGUAGUUAGCCUCCGAAACUGGAAGACUUGAGUGCAGGAGAGGAAAGGGGGAUUGCCAGUGUAGCGGUGAAAUGCGUAGAUAUUGGGAGAAAUACCAGUGGCGAAGGCGGCUUUCUGGACUGCAACUGAAACUGAGGCACGAAAGAGUGAGUAGCAAACAGG